CACUUGCCCCGACCUCAG
rnacentral:rRNA from 1 species